AUGUGGGUCACAACCCUUCAAACUGUCAACCUUAUGGGUCACAACCCUUCAAACUGUCAACCUUAUGGGUCACAACCCUUCAAACUGUCAACCUUACGGGUCACAACCCUUCAAACUGUCAACCUUAUGGGUCACAACCCUUCAAACUGUCAACCGUAUGGGUCACAACCCUUCAAACUGUCAACCUUAUGGGUCACAACCCUUCAAACUGUCAACCUUAUGGGUCACAACCCUUCAAACUGUCAACCUUAUGGGUCACAACCCUUCAAACUGUCAACCUUAUGGGUCACAACCCUUCAAACUGUCAACCUUAUGGGUCACAACCCUUCAAACUGUCAACCUUAUGGGUCACAACCCUUCAAACUGUCAACCGUAUGGGUCACAACCCUUCAAACUGUCAACCUUAUGGGUCACAACCCUUCAAACUGUCAACCUUAUGGGUCACAACCCUUCAAACUGUCAACCGUAUGGGUCACAACCCUUCAAACUGUCAACCUUAUGGGUCACAACCCUUCAAACUGUCAACCUUAUGGGUCACAACCCUUCAAACUGUCAACCUUAUGGGUCACAACCCUUCAAACUGUCAACCGUAUGGGUCACAACCCUUCAAACUGUCAACCUUAUGGGUCACAACCCUUCAAACUGUCAACCUUAUGGGUCACAACCCUUCAAACUGUCAACCUUAUGGGUCACAACCCUUCAAACUGUCAACCUUAUGGGUCACAACCCUUCAAACUGUCAACCGUAUGGGUCACAACCCUUCAAACUGUCAACCUUAUGGGUCACAACCCUUCAAACUGUCAACCUUAUGGGUCACAACCCUUCAAACUGUCAACCGUAUGGGUCACAACCCUUCAAACUGUCAACCUUAUGGGUCACAACCCUUCAAACUGUCAACCGUAUGGGUCACAACCCUUCAAACUGUCAACCGUAUGGGUCACAACCCUUCAAACUGUCAACCUUAUGGGUCACAACCCUUCAAACUGUCAACCGUAUGGGUCACAACCCUUCAAACUGUCAACCGUAUGGGUCACAACCCUUCAAACUGUCAACCUUAUGGGUCACAACCCUUCAAAC
rnacentral:lncRNA from 1 species